rnacentral:rRNA from 1 species
CAGUAGCCGCGGGAAUACAGAGGAUACAAGCGUUAUCCGGAAUGAUUGGGCGUAAAGCGUCUGUAGGUGGCUUUUCUAGUCCGCCGUCAAAUCCCAGGGCUCAACCCUGGACAGGCGGUGGAAACUACCAAGCUGGAGUACGGUAGAGGGGGAUGGAAUUCCGCGUGUAGCAGUGAAAUGCGUAGAUAUGCGGAGGAACACCGACGGCGAAGGCAAUCCCCUGGACCUGUACUGACGCUCAUGCACGAAAGCGUGGGGAGCAAACAGGAUUAGAUACCCCUGUAGUCCCUGUCUCUUAUAC